CGUGCUUGGUCUAUACAGGGCCUUUUCUGCGUGUAACAGCCUGCUGUGGCUUAUCACUCAACGGCGAGCGCAGCACUAUCCUACAGCAAGAACGGACACAGCGCAGCUGCGGACAUGUUGAAAUUUAUUAUUUCUUUCGGCGCUGGAGUCUACGCGGGCGUUUAUGUAGCACAGAACUAUCAGGUGCCCCGUGUUGAUGAGCCACAAGAACUUUGGCGAAAGAUAAAGGACUUUGCUGAUCAGUACAGGAAGUCUCCCCCUGGUGUCUAACAUUCCAAUAUUUGUAUAGCUCUGGUUCCAACUUCUUAAUGUGCUGCACUGGAUGCAGUCUAUGCAUUUGCAUUUCAUGUUCUUGUGUUACAUGGGAACUUAAGUCUACAAUAGACGUAUCACAUAUGACCCCUGCCUUUACUGCAGCUACGUCAAUUGCAGAAAAUUAAUUUGUUUUGUCAACAUGUUUGCGUCGCAAUAUUUAUGAUGCAUAGUGACUUGCAUUUUCUACUGUAGCUGCCUAUACAAAAAAGUUCUCGUCACCUGGAGUAGGCAUUUAACGGUGCUUUUUGAGGUCAGGGCUUGCUUAAUGCGAGCUAAUGUGCCCAAAUUACUGAAAUCUGAAAAAUUUAGGUUCUUCAAAAAUAUUGCUAGACUGCUUGAAAUGUAAUUUGUGCAUCAAAAGACAAACACACAGCGACUUUACUGUUAUAAGCACUUUAUUAGCAAAACCUGAAAAUGAUACCCAACAAUAAAAUGUACAGUGCUUGGUGCCACGAAGGCUCCCUGUUUUGCAAGAUGCGUCUGUUGAAUGUCUGAUACGAAAUUGCAUGAUAUGUACAUAGCACAACUGUAAUAAAGGCAUACGACGAUUGGUUUUGUAA